AGUAUCUGUUCUUCUCAGUUUAAUAUCUGAUACAUCCUCUAUCUGAGGACAAUAUUUUAAAUGGAUUUUUGGAAUUAGGAGAUGGAAUAGGAGCUUGUUCCAUCCACUCCACGCAUCAGCCUGAUACUGCAAUACUUCCAGGAACGGCGC
rnacentral:snRNA from 1 species